GACGAACGCUGGCGGCGUGCUUAACACAUGCAAGUCGAACGGAAAGGCCCUGAUUUUGUGGGGUUCUCGUUUGGGGAACGGGUGAGUAACACGUGAGUAACCUGCCCCUGACUUUGGGAUAACUUCAGGAAACUGGGGCUAAUACCGGAUAGGAGCUCCUGCUGCAUGGGGGGGGUUGGAAAGUUUCGGCGGUGGGGGAUGGACUGGCGGCUUAUCAGCUUGUUGGUGGGGUAGUGGCUUACCAAGGCUUUGACGGGUAGCCGGCCUGAGAGGGGGACCGGCCACAUUGGGCCUGCGAUACGGCCCAGUCUCCUACGGGAGGCAGCGGUGGGGAAUAUUGCGCAAUGGGCGGAAGCCUGAUGCAGCAGCGCCGCGUGCGGGAUGACGUCCUUCGGGUUGUAAACCGCUUUCUCCUGUGACGAAGCGUGAGUGACGGUAAUGGGUAAAGAAGCACCGGCUAACUACGUG
rnacentral:rRNA from 1 species